GUUAGGAUUAGAGUUUGGCUUAGGUUUACUUGCAUGCAAUUGUGCAUAAUUAGUUGUUAUUAUAAUAGUAAGUACAUGUAACAUGUGUAACAAGGACUCCUUAAAAUAAAGUGUUACCAAAAAACCUUAACCUUUGUUUGUAACAUGGUAAAACAAUGUUAAAAUACAUUUUUUUCCCUUGCUUCCCCCCUCUACAGUAGGGUCAUAUUUUCUCAGUGUAUCAAGGUCUCAAUGUUCAAGUUUUUUAAAGAUGAAGGGAUGUCUAACAACCUGACCAUGGUUGCAUGAAACAUUGUGUCUUGAAGUUAUUCCAAAAUGCCAAAUAUGAGUUUAAAUGGUGGUAUGACAUUUGAAAAAAAAAAAAACAUGGCUUGUCUCCCUUUUCCUCCCUUUUAAAAGUUAAGCCAGUUUACCCUAACCAUGCAUAAUUAUAUGGUUCAUUGUGUUUUAUGUUUUGCAUUUGGCAUUCUUUUUCCAGUCCUAGAUUAGCCUUUAAGAACUUUAAGAUUUAAAUAUAUUACCAGCUCUUCCUAGGCCUGUUGGUAAAGGCAUUCUCACAAGCCCUCCAGAGUGUUGUAGUCUGUCACGUAGAGAUUUCUGAACCAAAGCAAAGGUGCAGUCUUGAUGCCACACUGGCAGCUCCAGCCCCAGCAUGCAACAGACGAUCCUGAACUUCUCCUGCUCUGAGAGCAACCCCAUCUCACAUGCCAGAUACACCAUGUAGGCCAUAUCAAUAUUCACUGCUUCACCAUGGAGUAAAGCUGGUAGGACUUUCUAAAAAAAAAAAAUUUUGAAAAAAAAAAAAGUUAUUGCUGCAUUUUGCAUUGCAUAUACAACCAAAACCUGAACCACAGUUUUAGGAAUUCAAUUCAAUUCAAUUUUUUUUAUUACUAUACUAUAUUUUUUACCCCACACAACCCAUAGUAUGAAGUGAAGAUACCAUCUCUAGUUCUGGGCUGAUCAGGUGACCGAAGUCGACCAGUCUGUCAAGAUCAUCCUCCCACAGGUUUGGGGCCAAUUCUUCUAACAUGGUUUCUAUAGCGACACGGGUAGAAACAGAAGCAGGGUCAAUGCGGUCGUCUUCUAGAACCAUACCAGACUGGAACUUCGAGUCUAAAAGGAAUUGCCCCUGCAUUUCCAGAAGUUCAAACAGCCCUCUGUGCUUCAUGAGAGCCAUCUAAAACAAUAAAAACACAAAUAUAAUCAAUAUAAACAUAAAUAAAAAAAGACAAAUGAUAAUAAAAACACAGCUCUGCUUCUUGAAAAAAAUUCUGCUGAUUUACAAAAAAGGCCUAAUAUUACAUAAUUUGAUGAUGCUCAGCUCAAAAAUAUCAUCAAAUUAUAUAUAUACUUAAUAUAUCAGCUUUAAUACAAAAUAACAAAAGCAGUCAAAUGUCAAAAGUCUGACAAAAAGAUGCUUAAUUUAAUGGUUGUCGAAAGCAAAAAUGCUAAACAAUGCAUUUCCUAAUUUGGGAGAAAGUGUGAUGUGCUGAAGGAAAACAGGCAGUAUUUUUGGAAUCAGCACUCCAAAAUGAUCAAGAAACAAGUAUUGGAUUUCAUUCAGCAAAUAUGAUGCAGAGUGGUGUAAGAAUAAAACUUAUAAUAAUAAAUAUUCCAAAAAAGGGGAAAAAAUGUACCUUCAACAUUUCUGCUAGACCAUUAGAUAUGUGUCUGCGAGGAAUUGACUGUAUAAACGACCUGUCUAAGAAGGCAGCAACAGGUGCAAUGUAGGUGCCUAGCUUGUUCUUGCAAUUUGCGAAAUUCACGCCUGUCUUUGCUCCGACGCUAGCAUCGAUGUAUGACAAAAGGGUAGUGGGAACACGAAUAUAUGGAGUGCGCCGUCUGUAGAGGGACGCUGCGAGACCCACAAUAUCCAGGCAGACCCCACCUCCGAUGGCGAUGAUGGGCUCCGUACGCCGGUCGACACCAAACUGGUGGACUUCCUCCAGAAUCUUCAGGGCCAUUUCCAUGGACUUGUUCUCCUCCGUCGUGGGCAGGGGCAGGAUCCUGUACAGGACGUGUCUGGCCUCGAGGUAGUCGGUGACCUGAGAACCAUAGAGAUUGUAUACUACCUCAUCCAUGACUAUGAAGCGUUUUAAGGGCUUGGUGCUGGACCGUAUGGCCUCAAGCUGCUGAGUGUCUCUGAUGUGGCCCAAAAGCAGAGUAUCAUUGCUGGGGUCAAGAAGAUUUUUGGUCUGAGUAACUGUAUAUGUGAAGGUGAUGGGGGUGACCACUGUCCAGGUGGUGCCACUAGAGGAGCUGCUUUCGUAACUGCAACAUAUAAAGCUCAUAACUCAUUUUGUAUCUUGUUUUUGAUUAUAUAUAUAUAAAAAAGUAAGAUUAAAUAUUACAAAAAAAAUAUAAGUGGUGCUACCUGACUGCAAUAUUUCUCUUUUCAAAUUAAUUAAAAUCUAAAAUAUGUACUACUGUAUGUAUGUAUAUAUAUUAAA
ensembl:lncRNA